rnacentral:rRNA from 1 species
GAUGAACGCUGGCGGCGUGCCUAAUACAUGCAAGUCGAGCGAACAGACGAGGAGCUUGCUCCUCUGACGUUAGCGGCGGACGGGUGAGUAACACGUGGAUAACCUACCUAUAAGACUGGGAUAACUUCGGGAAACCGGAGCUAAUACCGGAUAAUAUAUUGAACCGCAUGGUUCAAUAGUGAAAGACGGUUUUGCUGUCACUUAUAGAUGGAUCCGCGCCGCAUUAGCUAGUUGGUAAGGUAACGGCUUACUAAGGCAACGAUGCGUAGCCGACGUGAGAGGGUGAUCGGCCACACUAGAACUGAGACACGGACCAGACUCCUACGGGAGGCAGCAGUAGGGAAUCUUCCGCAAUGGGCGAAAGCCUGACGGAGCAACGCCGCGUGAGUGAUGAAGGUCUUCGGAUCGUAAAACUCUGUUAUUAGGGAAGAACAAAUGUGUAAGUAACUAUGCACGUCUUGACGGUACCUAAUCAGAAAGCCACGGCUAACUACGUG